rnacentral:lncRNA from 1 species
UGAUCAUGUAUUUUGAACCUUGAUUGAGGAACAUUGUAUUUGCUUUUGUUUUUGGCAUGAUUGUACUAAAAUGUUCCUAUUUUGAUCAAUGAAGUUUGAAUGUUUGUUAUUGUGUCCUUUCCCAUGUACUUAUUUGAUGAUAACAAAAAGGGGGAGAAGUAAAGAAAGAGUAAUAGGGGAGAAGUAAAGAUAGAGUAAAUAGAGUAACAAAAAGGGGGAUAAGUAAAGAAAGAGUAAUAGGGGAGAAGUAAAGAUAGAGUAAUAAGAGGAGAAGUAAAGAAAGAAAGAGAAAUAAUUUGUAAAACAAAUUGAAAAUCAUAUAGGAAAGCAUUUACAUCCAAGGGGGAGCAAUUUGCAACAAUGAAAAUGAUCAAGUCAAAAAUUUAUAUCAAAUUUCAGAAUUUGGCACAUAUAAUUUCAGAAUUUGGCACGCACCUUUCACACCUCGAUACAUAACCUGAAACUCAUGUUUUAUCUCAAAUUUUUGAAGUUUCAUCGUUAAUGAAUUAUAAAUGAAAGGGGGAGCAAUUCAAAAAGUCAAAUUGGCAACAUUUAAAUGAAAUAGGGGGAGAUUUCACUCUUAUAUAUGAAAAGCUGAAAUUCAGCAAGUUAAGCCCUUUUAAAAACUGAUCUUAAAGAC